UACGUAGGGGCAAGCGUGGUCCGGAAUCAUUGGGCGUAAGAAGCGUGUAGCGGCCCGGUAAGUCCGCCGUGAAAGUCCAGGGCUCAACCCUGGAAUGCCGGUGGAUACUGUCGGGCUAGAGUGCGGAAGAGGCGAGUGGAAUUCCUGGUGUAGCGGUGAAAUGCGCAGAUAUCAGGAGGAACACCAAUUGCGAAGGCAGCUCGCUGGGACGUAACUGACGCUGAGACGCGAAAGCGUGGGGAGCAAACAGG
rnacentral:rRNA from 1 species